AUGAGAGAGCGAGAGGGAGGAAGUUUCUGCAGGGAAGGGAUUAUGCUGUUUCCUCCCCCUCCCAUUCGCUCUCUUCUAGUGCUCCAUAAACUAUGUUGGAAAAGCUCUAGAAACUUAAACCUGCUCCUCAGGUAUAUGACCCUGCAGACAGGAUUAUGCUCUCUCCGCAUCUGCUGUAUCUUUUUCUGCUCUUCACUUUCUAGCCUUUUUUUUUUUCUUUGGGUCAUGUGGUGAAGGAAGGGCCAAUCUCAUUGGAGAACGGAACGGGGAAACUUACAGCUGCACAAUGCUGAAGCCGGUUUUCUGCCUGACAGGCACUUAAAGCAAUUCCACUCGUGGAUGAGGUAGGGGGUGGCGGGCGGGGAGGGGGGUAAUAGAUCGUUCGCAGGAAGGGGGAAGGUCGUUUCACUUCUUUAGCACCAAGUUUCUGCGUGGGCUAGACAGCAGUUAUUUCAAAACCUAAAAUGGAAUAGACUGUAAAAAAGGUGGAUGCUUCACUCCCUUUAUGAGACUUUAUGAGGCUAAAGGCAUGUGUACGGUGGUGCGACGCACGGGGAGCAAGGGUUACCUCAAGGCUGUUCCGUGGACCAUGCAAACAAGUCUAGACCAGUGACCUGCUCAAUCGCUUCCUCUGAGGGCCAGGCAAGUUCGGUCAGGAAGAAGAAAGCGAGGCGUGCCCUCUUUUCAAUGAGGGAGCAAGGAGGCAGUCGGCGGUGUUUAAGCGAAGCUCCUCAGACUUAGCACAUCUCCACACAGAUGAGCUGAGAGGUCAAUGAGUUCCUUUGCUGCCACAGCGACUGCCAAGUACAACCAGACACACUCUAUUAGAUGCAUUAUAAAACUGUUGAAACUCUCUCUGUCUUUUUCUCUGGCUCUGCUUCUCUCUCUCACUGUUGCAUUAACCAGAAUAAAAAAGAAAUACAUUCUUUUAUUACUUUCAUAAUGCUUUUGACCAGACUUUGUUCAAUAAAGGAAUAAAAUGUGAAUAA